UUAAGUUCAGCGGGUAUUCCUACCUGAUCCGAGGUCAACCUUGGGUAAAUGAGGCUUUUUAACGGCCGGAACCCGCAGCACGCCCAGAGCGAGAUGUAACUACUACGCUCAGGGUGACAGCGAGCCCGCCACUGGUUUCAGGGCCUGCGGCAGCCGCAGGUCCCCAACACAAGCCGGGGGCUUGAUGGUUGAAAUGAUGC
rnacentral:misc_RNA from 1 species